CUACAAAGGAAUUGACGGGGGCCCGCACAAGCAGCGGAGCGUGUGGUUUAAUUCGAUGAUACGCGAAGAACCUUAUCCUGGGUUUGACAUGCACGGAUUAGCUCUCUGAAAGGGGAGUGACGCGGCUUGCCGUGGAACGUGCACAGGUGCUGCAUGGCUGUCGUCAGCUCGUGUUGUGAGAUGUCGGGUUAAGUCCCUUAACGAGCGAAACCCUUAUCCUUUAGUUACCAGCGGGUUAUGCCGGGCACUCUAAGGAGACUGCCGGUGUUAAGCCGGAGGAAGGUGGGGAUGACGUCAAGUCCUCAUGGCCUUUAUGCCCAGGGCUGCACACGUGCUACAAUGGGUAGUACAAAGGGAUGCGAACUUGCGAAAGUAAGCAAAUCCCAAAAAACUAUCCUCAGUUCGGAUUGCAGGCUGCAACUCGCCUGCAUGAAGCUGGAAUCGCUAGUAAUCGCAGGUCAGCUAUACUGCGGUGAAUAUGUUCCUGAGCCUU
rnacentral:rRNA from 1 species